GACGAACGCUGGCGGCGUGCUUAACACAUGCAAGUCGAACGCUGAAGCACCAGCUUGCUGGUGUGGAUGAGUGGCGAACGGGUGAGUAAUACGUGAGUAACCUGCCCUUGACUCUGGGAUAAGCCCGGGAAACUGGGUCUAAUACUGGAUGCUACAUGUCACCGCAUGGUGGUGUGUGGAAAGGGUUUACUGGUCUUGGAUGGGCUCACGGCCUAUCAGCUUGUUGGUGAGGUAAUGGCUCACCAAGGCGACGACGGGUAGCCGGCCUGAGAGGGUGACCGGCCACACUGGGACUGAGACACGGCCCAGACUCCUACGGGAGGCAGCAGUGGGAAUAUUGCACAAUGGGCGAAAGCCUGAUGCAGCGACGCCGCGUGAGGGAUGACGGCCUGGU
rnacentral:rRNA from 1 species